rnacentral:hammerhead_ribozyme from 1 species
AUCCAGCUGACGAGUCCCGAAUAGCACGAAAUAUGUGUCCUGAAU